AGUGUCCACAGCAGCAGGCCUCUACACUCAUUGAGAGUGGGCUCCUGAAUCCCCCUGUGGUUGGCGGUUGCAGUAAAACAUAAAUAUAUACUACAUACUGUAUAUUGUUUUAUUUCUCCGGGGCCCAGGGGCAAUAGCCCAGGUAAGCCAGCCCUUCCUAUGUCAGAAAAUAGCCAAGGCCUAUUCACCUUAUUCCUAUUUGUUUCUGGAUCAAUCAAUACAAUUUCUGAAUCCUUAAAAUGUACAUGUUGGUGUCUUGAAGUUUCCUAUGACCUAUAGGCCGAGGGAAAUGCAUUCAUUUUGCAAUGUAUUAGCCUAUUUCUUAGGUCUAUAGAAUAUUUAGUACACAAGUGAAAUAUCAACAUCAGUCAUGUCGAUUGUAUAGGAUUCCAGCGCCUUGACAGAUGCACACACACCACUGUGGUGACACGUCCCCUAUAUGACUAUCUCUGUCCCCACGUUGUGAUUGUCCCUCCCCCACUCCACUUUACCGCGCAGAGCCAGAGAGGGAAAAUCACUUUCAUCUGGAGAAGCUCGUCCGUUAACACCGGGCGGCCCAUCUGCAGCUCCCCGCUGUUCCUAAAAGAAAGAUUAAGGAUUUGAGUUGGCCUGACGGAGAGAUCUUCCAGGCGACUCCGGCCCAUGGAGGAUGCAGAGCAUCACAUCAGAUCAAACAUUGAUAAACCAGUACUUUACCAGCGUUUUAUCAAUAUCUUUAAAGGACGGGGAGUUUUUGCCACUGAAUUCAUAUCCAAAGGAGACUUUGUUGUGGAGUACCGAGGUGAACUGCUCACACAACAGGAGGGCGAGGUCCGAGCUGAUCAGUACAAUGAUUCUGCAAAGGUGUUUCUUUUCGAUUUCCAAUGGAAAGGAAGAACAUGGUGCAUUGAUGCAUCUGAAGAAGACUCCUCCCUUGGGAGACUCGUUAAUGAUGAUCACUAAAGACUCAAUCUCAAAAUGAAGGCCAUACAAGCAAACGAUGAGCCACACUUGUGCCUCUUCGCGACUCGAGAUAUUGCAGCUGGCGAAGAGUUGACUUAUAGUUACGGUGAUUCAGACUGGCCAUGGAGAACACAGGUCAUCAAAACUGAAUUGUCGUCCAGCCCAAAACCU